CCUACGGGUGGCUGCAGUGGGGAAUAUUGGACAAUGGGGGGAACCCUGAUCCAGCCAUGCCGCGUGUGUGAAGAAGGCCCUCGGGUUGUAAAGCACUUUCAGUGAGGAAGAACGCCUGGUGGUUAAUACCCAUCAGGAAAGACAUCACUCACAGAAGAAGCACCGGCUAACUCCGUGCCAGCAGCCGCGGUAAUACGGAGGGUGCGAGCGUUAAUCGGAAUUACUGGGCGUAAAGCGCGCGUAGGUGGCUUGAUAAGCCGGUUGUGAAAGCCCGGGGCUCAACCUGGGAACGGCAUCCGGAACUGUCAAGCUAGAGUGCAGGAGAGGAAGGUAGAAUUCCCGGUGUAGCGGUGAAAUGCGUAGAGAUCGGGAGGAAUACCAGUGGCGAAGGCGGCCUUCUGGACUGACACUGACACUGAGGUGCGAAAGCGUGGGUAGCAAACAGGAUUAGAUACCCUAGUAGUC
rnacentral:rRNA from 1 species